GGAGCACUACAGUUUUCUGAGAAUACAGUUUAAGGACUUUUGAUCAGAUUUAAUAUUAUUGGCCCCAAUUUAGAAAUAUUAAGAUUGGCCUGAUGAUGACAGAUAAUGCUGGUGGAAUUCAUAAAUUCAGUUUGGCAGUUCCAAGAGUCCACAGGAAUGGGACACAUGGCAUGUGGGUGACUGAGGGAUAAACUCUAACAAAAUGAUUACAGACUUCAUCAUGCAACUACGACAACGCCUUAGCCUGGCUCAAGUUCAACUUUCAACACGCUUGAGAGCUGUUAGUUCUUUUCUUUAAAAAGGUUGCACAGAUCAGGUUCAGCUUCCCUUUCAUCGUUCCACUAGCUGAUUUUAUGAACAUUAAAAAUGUAUUAUUUUUCA